rnacentral:rRNA from 1 species
UACGAAGGGGGCUAGCGUUGUUCGGAAUUACUGGGCGUAAAGCGCACGUAGGCGGAUACUUAAGUUAGGGGUGAAAUCCCAGGGCUCAACCCUGGAACUGCCUUUAAUACUGGGUAUCUUGAGUUCGAGAGAGGUGAGUGGAAUUCCGAGUGUAGAGGUGAAAUUCGUAGAUAUCGGGAGGAACACCAGUGGCGAAGGCGGCGACCUGGGCCAAUACUGACGCUGAGGUGCGAAAGCGUGGGGAGCAAACAGG